CUCGCGCGAUUCUUCACCACGAAACCUAGUCACUCCUCCCUCUCCGAAUCGCUGAACGCGCCUCCCUCUCUGAAUCGCCGAAGCGCCCCUCUCGCUGUAAAUGCGCCUCUCUCUCGCUGAAGCUACGGGACCAGACAUACGACUCUCUCUCGCAGCGAGCCCUUUUCUACCGUGAGCUCUCCCUCGCCGUGAGCUCUCCAAAUCGCCCAUCACCCAUCCCUCUCGCGCCGAAGCUAGGAUCUACGACUCUCUCUCUAGCCAAAGCUCCCCUCUCGCCGCAAGCACGCCUCUCUCGCUCUGAGCUCUCCUGCGGCGAGCUCUCUCUCGCUAGAUCUAGGGUUUCUCACUCUGCAACCUCUCUUCGCCGACAAACUCCUUCACUGAAUUACUUCAACCAUGGAAGGAAGCUCCUCUGGAGGGAGGGAGUCAACUUUAACUUUGAUGAUAUGAUGAAGAAGGCACCAAAUGCUAGAAUGACACAUCCAUGGCCAGACCACUUUUAUUCAUUGCAUGUGGCACUUGGAGCUGCAGGGGAAAGAGCAAAGGCUGAAUUAAUUCUACUAUUUUGUUUUUUUUUCUUCUUGUGUUGUAUGUUCUGGGGGUCAGGUAUUGGACUGUAACUAUUUGUUUGUUGGCUUCGGGUGUUGUAAUUUGUUUCUAAACAGCCAGUUGUUUAAACUUGUAAUGAUAGUUUCAUUUUCUUAA